rnacentral:rRNA from 1 species
AUGGUCCUCCUCGACUGUCCACCAACACCAAGCGAACACCAAGUCUGGGAAGGCCGCAAGGGGGAGCACUGGAAAGACACGCCGCCGCCGCCGCAAGGGUUAGCCUCUGCUUCCAUGUUUCAUGAGGGUGGCGCCAUUGUUUGGACUUGUGGUGCAGCUACUGCGUCCUGUUCGAGAGAGAAAAGAGAGGGUGAUGAGAGAGAGGGUAGAAGGAGAGGGAGAACCGCAGAGGAGCUGGCUCACCGGCGAGGUCCUGCUGCUGCUUCAGAUCUCCGUGCGGGGGGUCGGGUUCGAGCUCCUGCGAGCACUCUCGCCGCUCGGGCGCCUGGUAUAUGGGAGACUGUUUUGUGCAAGGGAAACUGA